rnacentral:rRNA from 1 species
UCUGAAUCUGCGUACGGCUCCGCAAACCAGUUGUAAACUAGAGCAAGCAAGUCUGGCGGGCUUCGGCCUCCAGACGAUAUGGAUAACCCUGGUAAUUCUGAGGCUAAUACAUGACCGCAAAACCGGGCAGCCCAGCAAUGGAUGCUCGGGGAUGUGCGAUAUGGCUUGACAAUGACCGGGAAAGGACGCACACUCAGACCGCGCUAAAAAGGAUCGGGACUCUCUUCGGAGAACCUGGCCCCAGCGGCUCUUGCUGUGUGCUUCUGACCUAUCAACUAGACGGCAGCGUAAGGGACAUG